CCAAUAGAUGGUGUCUCGUCGUUUUUCAUGUUAUGGCUGAUUGUCAAAAUGUUUCUUAAUUUUUAUACGAAAUCUACCGACUAAUUCAUCGCAAGGAACGGGAAAGGAAACAGUAACAUACAAGUAGCCUACCAUCGCUACCACCAACCCUCUUUUAUUAAAAAUCGUCGUUCUGCUGAAUGCAUUAUCCAGUUCAUACAGCAGUUUCUAUUGAUCUUGGUAGGUCACUACUCGUCAAUACCCCAGUGUGGACAUGUUUGUUUUUCUGAACAUGUUUUAAAUAAUGCAUUGGCGUACAAGGAAAGCUACGAAAAAUAUAUCAUCUAGGCCAAGGGCAAUCUUCAGGUUUAUUGCAGCAGCUUAAGAGAAGAAUGUGAACAAAUGCAGGGCAAAUAUCAACAAGUGUUGUAUUUUUCUGAAUGUUAAACACGAGCAGUAGAUUCAACAUGACUAACUGUUUGAUGCCAAAGUUAGUUGCCUAGUUGGAACUCAACUCACUGUACGUUCUGUAACACAGAUAACUGGUGCUGUUGCCUUACAGCCACAGGCAGGAAAAUGAUUCUUUUCUUCAGAAAAUUGGAAAGCUGCUGGAGUAAUCUGGUGUUCAUGCACAUUUGAUUCAUUUCGUGCCAGCUAGUGAAAGCCGAAAGACAUGUCGAAUUCAAGCUGAGCUGCUGCUUUCUGUCUGGAAGCAAGCAAUCCAGCCGUUGCGUUGAGUCAUUUGAACAGGUAUCUAAUGGCUGUCAAUAGGUGGCUGUCGAAAGCUGGCUGGAAUGUCCACCAGGUAGCGCGAGUGUCUUCAGGGACGCAUUUCGGCCAUUUUGUUCCAAGACGUAGCAGAAAUGGGUUGCUGGUCGUGACGUUUCUCGCGAUGAAAAUUAAAAGGUUAUUUAUCACGUAGAAACCAAUUUGCCAAAUCAUUCAUCUCACACUUGGAAUUGCCUGUUCAUUGCCGAAAUGGCGUGCCUCGUGUGUCUCGCUGCCUGUUCUUAGGAGUUAGGGCGUACUUCUCAUCACAUGCAACAGUAAAAAGUAUUACAAACGCUUCUUUAAAGCUGUUGGGGUUACCUUGUUGCAGCCAAAUGGUGAAAGGUGUGACGAAGACAGAUUGAACCGUUGUAUGCAGCAUGAGGUUGCAGUGUGAUCCAGUAGUAGCUGUGUUGGACCUGAAAUUGCUAUGCUGUUGUAGCCGAGCUGUUCCAUCUGGGUUCCUGACUUCAAAUUUUUAAGUUGUCGUUUGUGUUUUAAUCCAUGCCAUAUGAAAUUGCUCCGCCAGUGAUAUUUGUGUUCUGACUUGAAAGUGUUUGAACUGUCGUCUUUUGAGUUUUCAUUCAAUCAUGCAGUAUACGACUGAGGCAACCUGAUCAAUAUCAGGUUUGACACAGUCGAGAACUGCUAGAUUAAAGAAGCUUUCUGCGCCAAACAAAUAAUAACGUGCAUAUAACUUGCAUCAUGUUAUUAUCGCGGUAGAGAAAGCGACAGGCCCCCCCCCCUGGGGGCCAUAGGAAAAAUAAAUGUAUGUGAUUA